UUAGCCCUAAACACAAAUAAUUAUAAAAACAAAAUUAUUCGCCAGAGUACUACCGGCAACAGCCUAAAACUCAAAGGACUCGGCGGUGCUUUAUACCCUUCUAGAGGAGCCUGUUCUAUAAUCGAUAAACCCCGAUAGACCUCACCAAUUCUUGCUAAUACAGUCUAUAUACCGCCAUCUUCAGCAAACCCUAAAAAGGAAUAAAAGUAAGCAUAAUCACAACACAUAAAAACGUUAGGUCAAGGUGUAACCUAUGAAAUGGGAAGAAAUGGGCUACAUUUUCUACCACAAGAAAAUCACACGAAAGUUAUUAUGAAACUAAUAACCAAAGGAGGAUUUAGUAGUAAACUAAGAAUAGA
rnacentral:rRNA from 1 species